UACGUAGGGGGCAAGCGUUGUCCGGAAUCAUUGGGCGUAAAGCGCGUGUAGGCGGCCAGAAAAGUCCGCUGUGAAAACUCGAGGCUCAACUUCGAGCUGUCGGUGGAAACUUUCUGGCUAGAGUCCGGAAGAGGAGAAUGGAAUUCCUGGUGUAGCGGUGAAAUGCGUAGAGAUCAGGAAGAACACCGGUGGCGAAAGCGCUCUGCUGGACCUUAACUGACACUGAGGGACGAAAGCUAGGGGAGCGAAUGGG
rnacentral:rRNA from 1 species